GCUCACUUUGGCAGUAUGUAUUAAAAAUAGAAUGAUGUAGAAAAGAUGAGCAUGGCCCCUGUGCAAGGCUAACACGAAAAUUCGUGAAGCAUUCUGUAAAAGA